UGCCAGCAGCCGCGGUAAUACCGGUGGCUCGAGUGGUGGCCGCUAUUAUUGGGUCUAAAGGGUCGUACCGGCCUGAUAAGUACUGGGAAAUCCGUGGCUAACCAUCGGGCGGCCAGGUAAUACUAUCAGGCUCGGGACUAGGAGAGACCAGAGGUACUCAUGAGGUAGGAGUGAAAUCCUGUAAUCUUAUGAGGACCACCAGUGGUGAAGACGUCUGGUUAGAAUAGGUCCGACGGUGAGGGACGAAGGCUGGGGGCGCAAACCGGAUUAGAUACCCGGGUAGUCCCAGCAGUAAACGAUGCCAGCUAUGUGUUGCUGGAACCAUGGGUUCCAGCAGUGCCGAAGGGAAGCCGUGAAGCUGGCCACCUGGGAAGUACGGUCGCAAGGCUGAAACUUAAAGGAAUUGGCGGGGGAGUACCACAACCGGUGGAGCCUGCGGUUUAAUUGGAUACAACGCCGGGAAUCUUACCGGAGGGGACAGCAGUAUGAAGGCCAGGCUAAAGACCUUGCCAGAUCAGCUGAGAGGAGGUGCAUGGCCGUCGCCAGUUCGUACCGUGAGGCAUCCUGUUUAGUCAGGCAACGAUCGAGACCCGCAGUCUUAUUUGCCAGCAUGCCCUUUGGGGUGUAUGGGUACAAUAAGACGACCNGCAGCGCUAAGCUGGAGGAAGGAGCGGGCUACGGUAGGUCAGCAUGCCCCGAAUCCUUCCGGGAUACACGCGGGCU
rnacentral:rRNA from 1 species